AGAUAAUGAAGUAAACUUUUACAUUUAGUUUCGACCUAAAAUUAGGAGACAUAUCCCUUAUCUG
rnacentral:tRNA from 1 species